rnacentral:rRNA from 1 species
AUUGAACGCUGGCGGCAGGCCUAACACAUGCAAGUCGAGCGCGCGGCGGACGGGUGAGUAAUGUAUGGGGAUAUGCCCGCUAGAGGGGGGUAACUACUGGAAACAGUGUCUAAUACCGCAUACUCUCGGAUGAACCCCUAGGGGAUUGUCUAGUAGGUAUGGUAAUGGCUUACCUAGGCGACGAUCCCUAGCUGGUUUGAGAGGAUGAUCAGCCACACUGGGACUGAGACACGGCCCAGACUCCUACGGGAGGCAGCAGUGGGGAAUAUUGCACAAUGGGCGAAAGCCUGAUGCAGCCAUGCCGCGUGUAUGAAGAAGGCCCUAGGGUUGUAAAGUACUUUCAGCAGGGAGGCGUUACCGGCAGAAGAAGCACCGGCUAACUCCGUGCCAGCAGCCGCGGUAAUUC